UUUGUAUGUAUAUAUAUAUGUGUACAUGUAUGCACACAAAUAUAUAUAUAUAUAUAUAUAUAUAUAUAUAUAAAUUUAGUAAAUGGAGUAAAACGCAUAUGUUAAAUGAAUUCUUUUAUUUCCAACAUAUGUUUCGAAGAUUACAAAUUAUACCUUCCAUAGGAAUAGGUGAUGUUGAUAAGGAUGUAAUUUUCUCUUCAGGGAAAUACAUAGGAACCAGCUUAACUGUAAGACAUUUUAACUGAAUAUGAUAACUGUAGUUAGAGAAGAUUGCUACAUAACUUAUAUAUAUGCAUGCACAUAUAUAUGUGUUGGAGUUGUACUUUCUUGAUGGAGACUAUGUGGCCAAAUAGUUAAGAAGUUUGUUUCAGAUUCAUGAAGUCCUAUCCUAGGUUCAAUCUCAAUGUAUGGCACCUUGGUAGACAGAAACUGUACUGAAACCCAACAGAUAGAUUGUAAAUGUAAUUCAAAGCUACAGCAUUGUCACACCUCGCGUCAUGCAAGUUCUGCCUGUGAAUUAAGUGAAGUGUAUAUGUGUCUGUGAAAUGGUCAGAUAAGUGAGUAUUAAUUAACAUCAAAACUAAUUAAGAUGAUAUUGUUGUUUAGCAAUUGAGAUACUUAUAUCAUUAAAGCAUUAAAAUAUUAAUUACUUUGCUGCAAUGGAUUAAUAGAUAUCUCAAAAUCACUCCGAUACCUUUUUAUUAUUAUUUUAUUUUAUUUUUUCGGUUGGAGGUUCCAUGUAUUUUUGGUUAAACUAAAGAAACUAAAGGAUUGAAAAUAAAAAAAAUUAUUAUUAUUAUUAUUAUUAUUAUUAAGCCAGAUAAAAUGCUUCACAACAUGUCUUCUGGCUGGCUUUACGUUCUGAGUUCAAAUUCCAUUGUGGUUAAAUUUGCCUUUCAUCUUUUCAGGGCCAAUAAAAUAAGUACCAGUUGACUACCGGGGAUCAAUGUUAUCAAGAAGUCCCCCCCCUCCCCCAAAAUUUCAUACCAUGUUCCUAUAGUAAAAAAAAAUAUUAUUAUUAUUACUAUUAAGGUGCCAAACUAGCAGAAACAUUACCAUGCCAGACAAAAUACCUCCACUGCAUGUCAUCUAUCCAUACAUUCUGAGUUAAAAUUAAGCUACAAUUGACUUUACUUUUCAUCUUUUAGGGGUCGAUAAGUACUAGUCAAGGACUGGGGUCAGUGUAUCCCAAAAAUUUCGGGCCUUUUGCCUAUACUAUAAAGAGUUAUUUUUUGUAUUGUCCCUCUCGUCCUUUGCCCUUGUGGCAAAUAAAUGAAAUAAUAAUAAUAAUUAUUAUUAUUAUUAUUAUUAUUAUUAUUAAGGUAUUUGGAUUGACAGAAUUAUUAGAGCAUUAUCCAAAAUGCCUUAUGGUAUUUAGAUGUGGCUCAAAUCUUCAUGAGAUCAACUUUGACUUUUUCUCCAGGGUUGAUAAAACGAAAUACCAGUCAUAUAACAGGAUCACAGUUUUGUGUCUCUUUUCAUAGUCUUUAUCAUUCUUUUCUUCCCUUCACUCGUAUUUGUAACAUUGUCUCAACUGGGUUUUUUUUUUAUCGCAGAAUUGGUAUUUCAUUUGGAUCUAUGCAUUUUGAGUUCAAAUUCUGCCAAGGUCAGCUUUUGUUUUUCAUCGCCUUCCAAGGCUGAUAAAACACAGGGCCAUAAUACUGGACAUCAAUUUAUAUAUAUAUAUAUAUAUGUGUGUGUGUGUGUGUGUCACGUGAUUGUAUUAGAGAGCAACUCUGUCUUGUGCCUGGGGAUGAAAUUUUGCUUGUAGGCACUAUUGUGUCCUUUGGUCAAAUUCUACUUACUUCAUUAUGUAUUUAGUACUAUACUAUGUUUUAGUCACUAAUGCCGAGGCCAUGCUGGAGUACCACCUUCAUGAGCAAAUGAAGUAUUAUUAUUAUUAUUAUUAUUAUUAUUAUUAUUAUUAUUAUUAUUAUUAAGGCAGCAAGCUGACAGAAUUGUUAGCAGGACGGAUAGAAUAUUUAGUGGUAUUCCAUCUGUCACUAUGUUCUAAGUUCAAAUUCUUCUGAGUUCGACUUUAUCUUUCAUCCUUUUGGGGUUGAUAUAAUCGACGAGUCCCCUGCCCAGACCUUUCAGGCCUUGUGCCUUUAGUAGAAAGGAUUAUUAUUAUUAUUAUUAUUAUUAUUAUUAUUAUUAUUGAGGUGGUGUGCUGGUAGAAUUGUUACCACAGCUAACAAAAUGACUUGCAGUAUUUUCCCAACUUUUUACAUUUCGGAAUUGAAAUUUUGCUGAGGUCAACUUUGUCUUUCAUUCUUUUGGGUUUGAUGAUAAAUUAAGGACCACUUGAGCACUGGGAUUGAUGUAAUUAACUUCCCCCAACUCCCUUUCAAAAUUACUGGGUUUGUACCAAAAUUAGAAAGAAAUAUUGUUAUUGUUGUUUUUAUCAUCAUUAAAUAAUAGAAAGAAAAAUUAUUGUAAUGUACAUUGUCUGGUAUUGUGCUGUGACAGUAAAUAGGGGCUGUUGGUAAGCAAAAUCUGCAAAAGGGUUUCAAUUUUUAUGAGGAACCGCUGUCAGUAAAGCCUUGGGAAAAAAUGCAUGAAUGUCACCUGUCCUCCAUUUUCUCUCUCUUAUAUAUAUAUAUAUAUAUAUAUAUAUAUAUAUAUAUAUAUAUAUAUAUAUAUAUAUAUAUAGUUACAUUUAUAUCCCAUAUGAAUCUGAGGUGCCAUGUCUAUCUAAGAAUCCAUAAUUAUUAUUGUUAUUAUUAAUUUCGUUUUUGUUUUCAAAUAUCAAACCAUUUUAAUGGGUUGUUUUUCUUUAAUUUUAUUUUUGUUGUUUUUUUUUUAAACUUUUGUCAAUGUUUUUGAGAGUUGAAAGAUACAAAGAAAAAAAAAGAACAAAGAAAUUAUUGAAUGCAUGUGUCGUUUGUUGUUUUAUUUUUUUUGUUUGUAAUAUUGUUUUUUCUUCAUUCUUGUCGCUUUUAUCCUUUGUCAGUUUACAAUGUGACACAAAAUACAUAUACAUAACACUGUGUGUAUCCUAUAUAUAUAUACAUACACGUUUGUGAGUGUGUGUGUAUAUAUAUAUCUAUUUAUCUAUCUAUCUAUUGAAUAUCUUCCUAUUGUUGUUAAAAUAACACUGGUGGUGGUGGUAGCAUCUUGGGUGUGGUGAGAAGGAAAAAAGAAAGAGUAGAAGGAUAACCAAAAGGGGAAUGACAGAGAGAGAGAGAGAGAGUGUGUGUGUGUGUGUGUGAGAGAGACAGGGAGAGAAAGUAGAAGUUAAAGUGGUAAUGUGAAAGUUUGAGUAACUGUUUAUAUGACAGAGAGAAGGGGAAUGGAAAAUUAAUGGAGAGAUGGGAAAAGAAUAGAAUGCGAGAAAGAAAAUUAGAAGAUAAAGAGAAAGGCAGGACUAGACCAAAUCAGAAACAAAAAUAAAUUGAGAGAGAGAGAGAGAAUGAAUGUUUGUGGAUCAAAUGGAGAUAAGAGAGUCGGAAAAAGAAAUUUGGAAGAAAUAAAAGAACAAAAAAAAUGUUUAGCAAAAUAAUGAAAUUAAUGUACAAUAUAAAACAAAAGAAAAAAAAAUGUCUUUUUUUCUGUCUCUCUGUGUUUUAUUUGAAAUAGAAUGUAACCAAGACUUGAGCAAGGAACAGAAGGAAUGAAUGAGAUUUUAUUGGAAAAACAUUUUUCAAGAAAUAUGACCAUUAUUAUUAUUAUUAUUCACCGCUUUUAAGAAAUGUUAGUUAAUGUUUGAACAUAUAUGUUAUCCUGGCCAGAAAAAUAGUAAUGAUAUAUCUUGAAAAUUAAUUAAUAUUUCAAAACUGAAUUUUUAUAUUUAAAAAAUAAGUGGUUUAAAUAUCAAUAUCUGUUAAUGGUGAUUUCCAUCUCUCAGCAUACUUUUGGCAAAUCUCUUAUUGACAAUUCCUUUCUGUAACUGUUGAGACUAUUGAGCAAGUAUUUAAAUGGUAUUUAAAUUUAAAGGGUAUUUAAAUAUUUAACACUAAAAUUACUUGCGCCAGCAGUUCUUCUCCAAAAAUGAAAAUUUUCAACACUAGAAAAGAAAAGACUAAUAUUUGAAUACAAACACAUUCUGUGUGUGUAUUUGUGUACAAGUUUGCAUGUGUGUAUGCACAUGAUCCUUAUUUAACCCUAUAAACCCUAAAUAAAUAUGAAGAGGGGAAAAAACAUUAUUGACAAGUCUAAAAAGACAACUGAAAACAUUGCAGUAACCAAUGGAAACAUUCUAAAGUGUUGAAGCAUAAAAACCUUCUGAGUCAAUCCAGACUCUUGAUUCUGUCAUUUUCUUUAUACAAUUAAUAGCAUUUGAAGCAUUGAAUUUUAUUACUGAAAAAAGCAUUAAGGAGUUAGGUUCCUUAACUCUUUGCCUGUCCUGUGUGUCACAUCUGAUACCCAAGACAUAUCUCCCUGGUGUCCUUGCAUCAUAUAUGAUACACAUUCCCAAAUUUCUUUUUCUUCAACCGCUAAGGUAACUUGUGACUUAGGAAAGCCUUAUAUAAUUCAGAACACACGAAACAAGGAUUAAUUAAAAGUCUGAAGCAUGGAUGCUUAGGACAAACUCAUGAAAAUGCUUUGUACUGGCAAAUGAUUAAACAGCCAGAAUUGUUACCUAGCUUUAGGAACGGUAAUUCUUUAAAUGGUAUUCAGCAAAAAAUACACAUACAUUUAUUUUCCUUCUAUGCUAUAUUACUAGAUUGGAUUUGAAUGUAUUUGAAUCAGAGAUUUGUGAAUCAAGUAAAGAUAGCUACAGGCCAGGUAGAUUAUAUUUUUCAGUAACUCAUGAUUAUGAUAUUCAUAUUACCUGGACUAUAGACUUCCUGGGCAGUAGCAGUAUACGUUCUAUGUAUGUAUAUCAAACGGACCAUGUACAAUGAGGCUGUGCACACACACACACAUACACAUGGAUAGUAGAUAUGAAUAUUAAUCAGUUGUAGUUUUACAUAACUGAAUAUUUGUUCUACAAAAUCUAUGUAUACAUGUAUGUGUGUGUAUGUAAUAUAUAUAUAGGCACAGGAGUAGCUGUAUGGUAAGAAGUUUGCUUCCCAACCACAUGGUUCCAGGUUCAAUUGCACUGAUAUAGUAUCUUCUACUAGAGCCCUGGGCCGACCGAAGCCUUGUACGCAGAUUUGGUGGAUGAGAACUGAAGCCUAUCAUAUAUCUGUAUAUAUCUAUGUGUGUAUGUGUCUAUCCCCCCCAUCACUGCUUGACAACCAGUGUUGGUGUGUUUACAUUCCUGUAACUUAGCAGUUUGGCAAAAGACACCGAUAGAAUAAGUACAAGACAUUAAAAAAAAACAAAUCUUGAGGUCGAUUUGUUUGACUAAAAUCCUUCAAGGUAAUGUUCCAGCAUAGCCACAGUCAAUGACUGAAACAAGUAAAAGAAUAAAAGAAUAUAUAUAUAUAUAUAUAUAUAUAUAUAUAUACACACACACACACACACACUCGUGUGUGUGUGUGUGUGUAAAAUAUAUAGAUGUAUAUGUAUGUUUGUAUGUUUAUAUAUUUAUGAGCAUGCGUGUGUGGUUGCAAUGAAUUGAGAAGCUGUGAUACUAUUCUUUUCUUCUUUCUUCUCUUUUUGUUGGACAUCGUUUCAGAAACCAUCCACUGUUUGAAAACAAUAGCUAUCAUUAGGGAAAGGUAACAGUUCUCUCAGUAACCAGAUUGCUGUUCUGUGACAAUAGCUUAGCAUUGAAGCAUUUAAAAAAACUAAAUAGAUAAAUAAAUAAAAAUGGAAAAAGGGUUUUCCGUUCUGUGAUAAAUAGAACAAAUUAAAGCAAAACAGGAUACAAAGUCAAUGUUUUGUGUUUUUUUAAAUUAGAAUUAGGUUUAUAGAACAAUGUAAUAAAACAGAAUAUAUUAUCA